rnacentral:piRNA from 1 species
UCCCACCCCCAAGGAGGCAGACUACAGA